rnacentral:rRNA from 1 species
GGGGGGGGGGGGGGGGGGGGGGGGGGGGGGGGGGGGGGGGGGGGGGGGGGGGGGGGGGCGGGGGGGACGGGGGCGGCGGACGGGGGGGUAGCACGGGGGUAGCCGCCCUAUAGGACUGGGAUAGCUUCGGGGGACCGGAGCUAGUGCCGGAUAAUAUAUUGAACCGCAUGGUUCAAUAGUGAAAGACGGUUUUGCUGUGACUUAGAGAUGGAACCGCGCCGCAUUAGCGAGUUGGUAAGGUAACGGCUUACCAAGGAAACGAUGCGUAGCCGACCUGCGAGGUUGAUCGGCCACACUGGAACUGAGACACGGGCCAGACUCCUACGGGAGGCAGCAGUAGGGAAUCUUCCGCAAUGGGCGAAAGCUUGACGGAGCAACGCCGCGUGAGUGAUGAAGGUCUUCGGAUCGUAAAACUCUGUUAUUAGGGAAGAACAAAUGUGUAAGUAACUAUGCACGUCUUGACGGUACCUAAGCAGAAAGCCACGGCUAACUACGU